rnacentral:ncRNA from 1 species
CCCUGACAGUUACACUCCGUAACUGACAUUAGCCAAGACAGGAGAUCCACAUG